AUGCAUUGCACGGCUGCUUACAUAGACAAUGAAUGGGAAGCGUGGAAAGGACGGAGCCUGUGGACACGUACCAUUACAGUUAAACUGAAAGUCCAUCUCCAUCACCACGUGGCACUGACUGACCUGACGUUUCCUUCGUUAGAGUUGGUCUCCAUCACCACGUGGCACUGACUGACCUGACGUUUCCUUCGUUAGAGUUGGUCUCCAUCACCACGUGGCACUGACUGACCUGACGUUUCCGUCUUUAGAGUUGGUCUCCAUCACCACGUGGCACUGACUAACCUGACGUUUCCUUCUUUAGAGUUGGUCUCCAUCACCACGUGGCACUGACUGACCUGACGUUUCCGUCUUUAGAGUUGGUCUCCAUCACCACGUGGCACUGACUGACCUGACGUUUCCUUCGUUAGAGUUGGUCUCCAUCACCACGUGGCACUGACUGACCUGACGUUUCCUUCGUUAGAGUUGGUCUCCAUCACCACAUGGCACUGACUAACCUGACGUUUCCUUCUUUAGAGAUUCCUGGAGAAAGCCUUGAUUCAGUGGUCUGAUUUUUAUACUUAAAAACACAAAAGCAGCUAACAUAUUACAUAUUAAGUACUGUUUUUUCUUAUUUACCUUAAUGUUAAUUUGUAUCUUAACAUUGUAAUGAAACAUAUUUAGCUUUUAUCUGCAAACUGGGACUUCUGUUUGACAAACUGUUAACUUGAAUUUUGUUUUGUUCUGAUUUACACGACGGUUUCAUGAGGAUCAAGUGUUUGUACGACACUACACAUGAUAUAUAGAACUACAAAUGUUGUUCUUUCUUUCUGGCGUUGAACAGUUGGAGUUGUUUCUCCUGAGUUAUGUACUACCUAUAGACGUACAGUACCUCAAACAGACCGUUACACAUGGACUAAUCAGUUGAACAAUACCUACCUCCAGUCUCUCUACUUCAGUAUGUAUGAUAUAUGAUCCAUGUAUGAUAUAUGAUGGAUGUAUGAUCUAUAUAUAAUCCAUGUCAGGACUGCAGCUCCGUUCUUUACGUAUCAGAUCAAUCUCAGUUCAUUUGGAUUCUCACCUUCAACGUGACUUUCAGGUUUUGAAACAGAUAUGUUUGGAUUUUUGUAUAUUGUAUUCAUGAAUAUGUUUUCUUGUUUUUAAUUAGUAGAUAUCGAUAUACUUGAUUAGCUGUUUUUGUGUACUUAAACACAAAUGUGAUUUUCUUUUCUUGUGAUAUGGUUAAACCAGAUGUGCUAUAUGGAAUUGCUUUUUACUUAGUGAUGGAUUAUACAAUUUUUCACCUGUCACCAUGGCAACCUUUGAAAAGUUCACAUGGUGUUUUUUUAAACUGGGCCUGAGGUAGAGCCUCAGAGGAGCUACGUUGAUCCUCUUUAAACUGGGCCUGAGGUAGAGCCUCAGAGGAGCUACGUUGAUCCUCUUUAAACUGGGCCUGAGGUAGAGCCUCAGAGGAGCUACGUUGAUCCUCUUUAAACUGGGCCUGAGGUAGAGCCUCAGAGGAGCUACGUUGAUCCUCUUUAAACUGGGCCUGAGGUAGAGCCUCAGAGGAGCUACGUUGAUCCUCUUUAAACUGGGCCUGAGGUAGAGCCUCAGAGGAGCUACGUUGAUCCUCUUUAGACCUGGGCCUGAGGUAGAGCCUCAGAGGAGCUACGUUGAUCCUCUUUAAACUGGGCCUGAGGUAGAGCCUCAGAGGAGCUACGUUGAUCCUCUUUAAACUGGGCCUGAGGUAGAGCCUCAGAGGAGCUACGUUGAUCCUCUUUAAACUGGGCCUGAGGUAGAGCCUCAGAGGAGCUACGUUGAUCCUCUUUAAACUGGGCCUGAGGUAGAGCCUCAGAGGAGCUACGUUGAUCCUCUUUAAACUGGGCCUGAGGUAGAGCCUCAGAGGAGCUACGUUGAUCCUCUUUAAACUGGGCCUGAGGUAGAGCCUCAGAGGAGCUACGUUGAUCCUCUUUAGACCUGGGCCUGAGGUAGAGCCUCAGAGGAGCUACGUUGAUCCUCUUUAGACCUGGGCCUGAGGUAGAGCCUCAGAGGAGCUACGUUGAUCCUCUUUAGACCUGGGCCUGAGGUAGAGCCUCAGAGGAGCUACGUUGAUCCUCUUUAAACUGGGCCUGAGGUAGAGCCUCAGAGGAGCUACGUUGAUCCUCUUUAGACCUGGGCCUGAGGUAGAGCCUCAGAGGAGCUACGUUGAUCCUCUUUAGACCUGGGCCUGAGGUAGAGCCUCAGAGGAGCUACGUUGAUCCUCUUUAAACUGGGCCUGAGGUAGAGCCUCAGAGGAGCUACGUUGAUCCUCUUUAAACUGGGCCUGAGGUAGAGCCUCAGAGGAGCUACGUUGAUCCUCUUUAGACCUGGGCCUGAGGUAGAGCCUCAGAGGAGCUACGUUGAUCCUCUUUAGACCUGGGCCUGAGGUAGAGCCUCAGAGGAGCUACGUUGAUCCUCUUUAAACUGGGCCUGAGGUAGAGCCUCAGAGGAGCUACGUUGAUCCUCUUUAGACCUGGGCCUGAGGUAGAGCCUCAGAGGAGCUACGUUGAUCCUCUUUAAACUGGGCCUGAGGUAGAGCCUCAGAGGAGCUACGUUGAUCCUCUUUAAACUGGGCCUGAGGUAGAGCCUCAGAGGAGCUACGUUGAUCCUCUUUAGACCUGUCCUCAUCAGCAGCAGCGGUACGGAGCGGAGGCUGCUUAACAGAAGCUGUGCUGAACUCUCACUAACCAGCAACCUGCACGGUGUCUGGACCGUAAAGGUGCCUUCAAGGUGUUUAUUCAUCACAAACAGGCAGCGGACAGCUGGACGGCUGUGCUCAGCGUAAGACUAAACAGUCAGACCUAUCCCUUUUCUACGGAAGCCUCGGUGAUCCAUUUUCUAGUGCCGGGUACACACUACACGAGGCUAACGCAUGAGCUAAUGCUAAACACAAAGCGUAAAGUAAGCUGUUUAUUUAUCAUGUCUCAUGAUUUCAGUACAAAGUAGAAAAACUAACAUCACUAAUUCUUCCUGCCUGUCGUUCGCCAUGUUCGUUGACACUAAAGUCACAUUUCAUCGCGAGCAAUUUUGCGAGAUUUACGUUUUUUUUAAGUCUCACAUUUUCAAAAUCUUCGGCAGCAGUUGAAGGUCCGAUGACAUCAUUCUGCAUAAUAAGUGGCCAUGUGCUUCUGUUUACAGCUGUGUGCGUCUGAGCUCAGACGGUCAGAUUCACGGCGUGACGGAACACAAAAAAAAAAUCUACCAUGCUAGACUUUCUGUCGGGACGUCUUGAGGCGUCCCAGAUGUCGUGAGGCGUCCCAGACGUCGUGAGGCGUCCCAGACGUCGUGAGGCGUCCCAGACGCGGCGUCGGUUGUCGUGCACUAUGACACUAAGGUUCAGGAACCGGACCUUUAGCUGUGAACCCGACCUUAGAAAAUGUAUCACCAGAACGUUUUGCCUCUGGGGGCUUCCGUACUUUACUGGACAAACAGAUGAAACAUAUCUCAUCUUAUAAAUAUCUGAAACGUGUAUUAAAGGGUCAGAAGAUCUGAAUAUGGUUUGAAAACAUUCAAUAACUCUCAUCCAGACACUGUGCAGGAAUAUAAUAUCUCUAAUAAUCCAACAAUCCAAACAGAGAGAAUCACCAGCUGCUGUUAAACGAGCUCUAAACUGUGAUACUGCAGCUGUUGAUGGAGGCUGAUCAGUAGCUUUGAACCAACGGCUUUGAAACAGACAGGCUUCAUCAUUUAACACCAGAGCCUCCAUCAGCUACACCCUCCAACACCCUCCAUCAGCUGCACCCUCCAUCAACUACACCCUCCAACACCCUCCAUCAGCUAAUCCCUCCAUCACCCUCCAUCAGCCACACGGACCCCCUGUAGACCUGCUACUAACACGUGAUCUAUAUACUACAGUAGAUGUUGAUGUAUCACGUGAUAAUAGCAGGUGGAAAUGGGGUCCAAGUGACACCACUGAGACUUGAGCUCAGGAGAAUGUAGACCACCUGCUGAUGUAGUCUGGAGGUGACGCUACCUGCAGGUGAUGCUACCCGGAGGUGACGCUACCCGCAGGUGACGCUACCCGGAGGUGACGUUGUCUGGAGGUGAUGCUACCUGCAGGUGAUGCUACCCGGAGGUGACGCUACCUGCAGGUGAUGCUACCCGGAGGUGACGCUACCCGGAGGUGACGUUGUCUGGAGGUGAUGUUGUCUGGAGGUGAUGCUGUCUGGAGGUGAUGCUACCUGGAGGUGACGUUGUCUGGAGGUGAUGCUGUCUGGAGGUGAUGCUACCCGGAGGUGACGUUGUCUGGAGGUGAUGUUGUCUGGAGGUGAUGCUGUCUGGAGGUGAUGCUACCUGGAGGUGAUGCUACCUGCAGGUGAUGCUACCUGGAGGUGAUGUUGUCUGGAGGUGACGCUACCUGCAGGUGAUGCUACCCGGAGGUGAUGCCACCCGGAGGUGAAGCUACCUCGCUGUUGGGCAGAAUGAUUGUAGAAGCCGUUGACCAGCUUUCAGCUCUGGGAGUCUUAAUGAAGUUUCUCUUCAUGAUAUCAUGUUCUAGUACAAUCGAUUACACAUUACUACCUCCAGAAGAAGGCCUACUUUUUACCUCAUUUCAAACUUAAAUACUGUCUAAGAUUCAGGUGUCCGAGAGCAUAUGGAGAACAUUUUAAAGUUUUAUAUAUAUAUAGUUUAUUUUUGUGGGGGAUGAAUUUUAUAAGCGUGUUUUUCUCUGCCUCUCAGUCACCGUACGGUAAGACUGGACAUGUAACCUUACCUUAUGCAAUGUGUCGUAGUUAGCUGUGAGGGAGGUGGAGAGAGGUCCAUCAGCUCUCCCUCCGCCUCGCUCCUUCUGUAUCAUUUCAAAUGUCUUCUAACUUGUAUUUGUUUCUCUGUCCACAUAGUAUUACUGUCUUUUAUUUUCACUACAUGUUUUUGCUUGCUUGCUAAACAAAGUCUUUAUAGAUAUUCACUGCGUUUUACCCAGCACAAUAAAAAGUAUGGCAUCCAUAA